CUUGCGGCAUUACCAUCAAACAGGUAUAUCUGGGUGGAUGGCAAUACUGGAGCAUUCAAACAAUGUAUGUGGAACAGGGGGCAACUCUUCUGGACAGGAGCCUUUGCUCUGGCAGAUCUCUUUUGAAGGGACAAAUGAUUAUACAGUACUUUAUUCAAAUGAUCAUGACCACACAUUUCCAGGCUAAGGUAAAAUGCUUUUAUUUUCCUAAACAUCCCUUUGAUAAAGGCUCAAACUCCAUAGAACUAAACCUUUGACUAAGUCCUAAAAACUUAAACAAGCGGUUCACCUUUCAAGUGCUGCACAAACAUUAACUUAUGCUUGAACACCCCACUCUGGUAUCUGUUUUAUCACUCCUGAUAUACAGAUAGGAAAUAGGAGUUAAGCAACUUGCUCAAAGGCACGAAGUAAAUCAUUGGUAGAGCAAAAUAGAAACAAAAAAAAUCAGAACUUCUAAGUUCCUGCUCACAGCCUUGUUUGCACUCAGAUUGUGCGACUACACCAUGUCAGACAUACUGCUAGAACAACUGGCUGUAGAAAUUUUACCCCUUUCUCCAGGGACCUUUCUGGAAUUAUCUUGAAUUUGAAGAUUCCUGACAUCCUCAGUCUUGAUGAUCAUCAUAAAUCUCUAUGUUCAGAUCUAAGCCACAGCUACUCUCAACAACUGGACUAGUGGGGCUGCAGUUUCCUGCAACAUUACAAAACCCAACACCUUGGAAUGGCUGGAGUAUGGGAGAUCCAGGCUGCUGUGACAUUUUCUUCCCAGUGUCUUCAGCAGGAACUCCAAUGUAUCCUGAUAUGGACCCUAUGAAAAAAAAACCACAGAGACUCAACCUGCACUCAAGAAUACCAAAAGUAGAGGAAAACAGUAAAUACACAUCAGCAAAGAUGGCCCAUUUAUUCAAGUGUCAUGAACUAUAAUAUUUUUGGAAUGCAUCAUAAAAAAUAUGCAAUCUCCAAUAUCUUAAAAUGAUAUGCUUCAGAAAAUGCAUGAGUGCUUAAAAAGAAUAAACUGCAGAAAAUCUGUAAAA